rnacentral:rRNA from 1 species
UAGGGAAUAUUAGAAGUGGACGAAAGUCUGAUCUAGCAACACCGCGUGUGCGAUGAAGGCCUUCGGGUUGUAAAGCACUUUUUGGAAGGAUUAGGAAGGAAUGUACUUCCAGAAUAAGUCUCGGCUAACUACGUGCCACCAGCCGCGGUAACACGUAGGAGGCGAACGUUAUCCGGAUUUACUGGGCGUAAAGCGCGUGUAGGUGGUUCUGUAAGUAGGGCGUGAAAGCUCCUGGCUCAACUGGGAGAGGCCGUUCUAAACUGCAGAGCUAGAGGAUGGUAGAGGGAGGUGGAAUUCCGGGUGUAGCGGUGGAAUGCGCAGAUAUCCGGAGGAACACCAGUGGCGAAGGCGGCCUCCUGGACCAUUCCUGACACUCUGACGCGAAAGCUAGGGUAGCAAACGG